AGUCGAACGGCAGCACGGACUUCGGUCUGGUGGCGAGUGGCGAACGGGUGAGUAAUGUAUCGGAACGUGCCUAGUAGCGGGGGAUAACUACGCGAAAGCGUAGCUAAUACUGGGUAUACGCUCUCUGGGAAAGCGUGGGUCCUUCGGGCCUCGCACUAUUAGAGCGGCCGAUAUCGGAUUAGCUAGUUGGUGGGGUAACGGCUCACCAAGGCGACGAUCCGUAGCUGGUUUGAGGACGACCAGCCACACUGGGACUGAGACACGGCCCAGACUCCUACGGGAGGCAGCAGUGGGGAAUUUUGACAAUGGGGAAACCUGAUCCAGCCAUCCCGCGUGUGCGAUGAAGGCCUUCGGGUUGUAAAAGCACUUGGCAGGAAAGAAAACGGCACGGGAUAAUACCCCGUGCAACUGACGGUACCUGCAGAAUAAGCACCGGCUAACCACGCGCCAGCAGCCGCGGUAAUACGUAGGGUGCAAGUGUUAAUCGGAAUUACUGGGCGUAAAAGCGUGCGCAGGCGGUUCGGAAAGAAAGAUGUGAAAUCCCAGAGCUUAACUUUGGAACUGCAUUUUUAACUACCGAGCUAGAGUGUGUCAGAGGAGGUGGAAUUCCGCGUGUAGCAGUGAAAUGUGUAGAUAUGGAGGAACACCGAUGGCGAAGGCAGCCUCCUGGGAUAACACUGACGCUCAUGCACGAAAGCGUGGGGAGCAAACAGGAUUAGAUACUCCUGGUAGUCCACGCCCCAAACGAUGUCAACUAGCUGUUGGGGCCUUCGGGCUCCUGGGCAGCGCAGCUAACGCGUGAAGUUGACCGCCCGGGGGAGUACGGUCGCAAGAUUAAAACUCCAAAGGAAUUGACGGGGACUCGCACAAGCGGUGGAUGAUGAUUAAUUCGAUGCAACGCGAAAAACCUACCUACCCUUGACAUGUCUGGAACCCGAAGAGAUUUGGGGAGUGCUCGCAAGAGAACCGGAACACAGGUGCUGCAUGGCUGUCGUCAGCUCGUGUCGUGAGAUGUUGGGUUAAGUCCUGCAACGAGCGCAACCCUUGUCAUUAGUUGCUACGAAAGGGCACCUCUAAUGAGACUGCCGGUGACAAAACCGGAGGAAGGUGGGGAUGACGUCAAGUCCUCAUGGCCCUUAUGGGUAGGGCUUCACACGUCAUACAAUGGUCGGGACAGAGGGUCGCCAACCCGCGAGGGGGACCAAUCCCAGAAACCCGAUCGUAGUCCGGAUCGCAGUCUGCAACUCGACUGCGUGAAGUCGGAAUCGCUAGUAAUCGCGGAUCAGCAUGUCGCGGUGAAUACGUUCCCGGGUCUUGUACACACCGCCCGUCACACCAUGGGAGUGGGUUUUACCAGAAGUAGUUAGCCCAACCUGGCAAGGAGGGCGAUUACCACGGUAGGAUUCAUGACUGGGGUGAAGUCGUAACAAGGUAG
rnacentral:rRNA from 1 species